rnacentral:rRNA from 1 species
GACGAACGCUGGCGGCGUGCCUAAUACAUGCAAGUAGAACGCUGAAGAGAGGAGCUUGCUCUUCUUGGAUGAGUUGCGAACGGGUGAGUAACGCGUAGGUAACCUGCCUUGUAGCGGGGGAUAACUAUUGGAAACGAUAGCUAAUACCGCAUAACAAUGGAUGACACAUGUCAUUUAUUUGAAAGGGGCAAUUGCUCCACUACAAGAUGGACCUGCGUUGUAUUAGCUAGUAGGUGAGGUAAUGGCUCACCUAGGCGACGAUACAUAGCCGACCUGAGAGGGUGAUCGGCCACACUGGGACUGAGACACGGCCCAGACUCCUACGGGAGGCAGCAGUAGGGAAUCUUCGGCAAGGGGGGCAACCCUGACCGAGCAACGCCGCGUGAGUGAAGAAGGUUUUCGGAUCGUAAAGCUCUGUUGUAAGUCAAGAACGGGUGUGAGAGUGGAAAGUUCACACUGUGACGGUAGCUUACCAGAAAGGGACGGCUAACUACGUG